rfam:Hordeum vulgare subsp. vulgare, WGS project CAJW01000000 data, contig: morex_contig_244274
CCGAUCAAUGAUGACGAGCUAAUCUCCUACAUCACCAAUGGACUCGACAUGGAGUACCAUCCCGUCAUCUCCGCCAACGAGGCUCACACCGAGUCCAUUAGCCUUCACAACCUCUUUGCCUAGAUGAGAAAUUUUGACC